CCUACGGGUGGCAGCAGUUAGGAAUAUUGGUCAAUUGUCGUCCGCCUGCCCCCGCCCCGUCGCGUGCCGGAUGACGGCCCUACGGGUUGUAAACUGCUUUUAUACGGGAAUAACGCGCCUUACGUGUAGGGCUUUGCAUGUACCGUAUGAAUAAGGACCGGCUAAUUCCGUGCCAGCAGCCGCGGUAAUACGGAAGGUCCGGGCGUUAUCCGGAUUUAUUGGGUUUAAAGGGAGCGUAGGCCGCAUGUCAAGCGUGCUGUGAAAUGUCCGGGCUCAACCCGGGCCUUGCAGCGCGAACUGGCGUGCUUGAGUCCGCGGAAGGCAGGCGGAAUUCGUCGUGUAGCGGUGAAAUGCUUAGAUAUGACGAAGAACCCCGAUUGCGAAGGCAGCUUGCUGCAGCGGAACUGACGCUGAUGCUCGAAAGCGCGGGUAUCGAACAGGAUUAGAUACCCGAGUAGUC
rnacentral:rRNA from 1 species